rnacentral:rRNA from 1 species
AUUGAACGCUGGCGGCAUGCUUUACACAUGCAAGUCGAACGGGGUGAGGAGCUUGCUCCUCAUCUAGUGGCGAACGGGUGAGUAAUACAUCGGAACGUACCGUGUAGUGGGGGAUAACGUAGCGAAAGUUACGCUAAUACCGCAUACGAUCCACGGAUGAAAGCAGGGGACCUUCGGGCCUUGUGCUAUACGAGCGGCCGAUGUCUGAUUAGCUAGUUGGUGGGGUAAAGGCCCACCAAGGCAACGAUCAGUAGCGGGUCUGAGAGGAUGAUCCGCCACACUGGGACUGAGACACGGCCCAGACUCCUAC